GAUGAACGCUGGCGGCGUGCCUAAUACAUGCAAGUCGAGCGAACAGACGAGGAGCUUGCUCCUCUGACGUUAGCGGCGGACGGGUGAGUAACACGUGGAUAACAUACCUAUAAGACUGGGAUAACUUCGGGAAACCGGAGCUAAUACCGGAUAAUAUAUUGAACCGCAUGGUUCAAUAGUGAAAGACGGUUUUGCUGUCACUUAUAGAUGGAUCCGCGCCGCAUUAGCUAGUUGGUAAGGUAACGGCUUACCAAGGCAACGAUGCGUAGCCGACCUGAGAGGGUGAUCGGCCACACUGGAACUGAGACACGGUCCAGACUCCUACGGGAGGCAGCAGUAGGGAAUCUUCCGCAAUGGGCGAAAGCUUGACGGAGCAACGCCGCGUGAGUGAUGAAGGUCUUCGGAUCGUAAAACUCUGUUAUUAGGGAAGAACAAAUGUGUAAGUAACUAUGCACGUCUUGACGGUACCUAAUCAGAAAGCCACGGCUAACUACGUG
rnacentral:rRNA from 1 species